UCGAACGAUGAAGCCUCACUUGUGGGGUGGAUUAGUGGCGAACGGGUGAGUAACACGUGAGUAACCUGCCCUUGACUCUGGGAUAAGCCUGGGAAACCGGGUCUAAUACCGGAUAUGACCGUUCACCGCAUGGUGGGUGGUGGAAAGAUUUAUCGGUUUUGGAUGGACUCGCGGCCUAUCAGCUGGUUGGUGGGGUAAUGGCCUACCAAGGCGACGACGGGUAGCCGGCCUGAGAGGGUGACCGGCCACACUGGGACUGAGACACGGCCCAGACUCCUACGGGAGGCAGCAGUGGGGAAUAUUGCACAAUGGGCGCAAGCCUGAUGCAGCGACGCCGCGUGAGGGAUGACGGCCUUCGGGUUGUAAACCUCUUUCAGCAGGGAAGAAGCGCAAGUGACGGUACCUGCAGAAGAAGCGCCGGCUAACUACGUGCCAGCAGCCGCGGUAAUACGUAGGGCGCAAGCGUUAUCCGGAAUUAUUGGGCGUAAAGAGCUCGUAGGCGGUUUGUCGCGUCUGCUGUGAAAGCCCGGGGCUCAACCCCGGGUCUGCAGUGGGUACGGGCAGACUGGAGUGCAGUAGGGGAGACCGGAAUUCCUGGUGUAGCGGUGAAAUGCGCAGAUAUCAGGAGGAACACCGAUGGCGAAGGCAGGUCUCUGGGCUGUAACUGACGCUGAGGAGCGAAAGCAUGGGGAGCGAACAGGAUUGA
rnacentral:rRNA from 1 species